rnacentral:rRNA from 1 species
ACGUUCUGAAAAGAACGCUAAUACCGCAUAAGAUUGUAGUUUCGCAUGGGACAGCAAUCAAAGGAGCAAUCCGCUGAAAGAUGGACUCGCGUCCGAUUAGAUAGUUGGCGGGGUAACGGCCCACCAAGUCGACGAUCGGUAGCCGGACUGAGAGGUUGAUCGGCCACAUUGGGACUGAGACACGGCCCAGACUCCUACGGGAGGCAGCAGUGAGGGAUAUUGGGCAAUGGGGGAAACCCUGACCCAGCUACGCCGCGUGAGGGAUGACGGUUUUCGGAUUGUAAACCUCUGUCCUCUGUGAAGAUAGUGACGGUAGCAGAGGAGGAAGCUCCGGCUAACUACGUGCCAGCAGCCGCGGUAAUACGUAGGGAGCAAGCGUUGUCCGGAUUUACUGGGUGUAAAGGGUGCGUAGGCGGAUUGGCAAGUCAGAAGUGAAAUCCAUGGGCUUAACCCAUGAACUGCUUUUGAAACUGUUAGUCUUGAGUGAAGUAGAGGUAGGCGGAAUUCCCGGUGUAGCGGUGAAAUGCGUAGAGAUCGGGAGGAACACCAGUGGCGAAGGCGGCCUACUGGGCUUUAACUGACGCUGAGGCACGAAAGUGUGGGUAGCAAACAGGAUUAGAUACCCUGGUAGUCCACACUGUAAACGAUGAUAACUAGGUGUGGGGGGUCUAACCCCCUCCGUGCCGGAGU